CAGUCGCCGCGGGAAAACGGAGGGGGCUAGCGUUGUUCGGAAUUACUGGGCGUAAAGCGCACGUAGGCGGCUUGACAAGUCUUGUGUGAAAUCUAUGGGCUCAACCCAUAGUCUGCACGGGAAACUGUCGGGCUUGAGAAUGGGAGAGGUGAGUGGAAUUUCCGGUGUAGCGGUGAAAUGCGUAGAUAUCGGAAGGAACACCUGUGGCGAAAGCGGCUCACUGGACCAUUUCUGACGCUGAUGCACGAAAGCUAGGGGAGCAAACAGGAUUAGAUACCCCAGUAGUCCCUGUCUCUUAUAA
rnacentral:rRNA from 1 species